rnacentral:rRNA from 1 species
CCUACGGGAGGCAGCAGUGAGGAAUAUUGGUCAAUGGGCGCGAGCCUGAACCAGCCAAGUCGCGUGAAGGAUGACUGCCCUACGGGUUGUAAACUUCUUUUAUAAAGGAAUAAAGUGAGGCACGUGUGCCGUUUUGUAUGUACUUUAUGAAUAAAGAUCGGCUAACUCCGUGCCAGCAGCCGCGGUAAUACGGAGGAUCCGAGCGUUAUCCGGAUUUAUUGGGUUUAAAGGGAGCGUAGAGGGGUUGUUAAGUCUGUUGUGAAAGUGUGCGGCUCAACCGUAGAAGUGCAAUUGAUACUGGCAGCCUGGAGUGCGGUUGAGGUAGGCGGAAUUCGUGGUGUAGCGGUGAAAUGCUUAGAUAUCACGAAGAACUCCGAUUGCGAAGGCAGCUUACUAAACUGCUACUGACAUUGAUGCUCGAAAGUGUGGGUAUCAAACAGGAUUAGAUACCCUUGUAGUC